rnacentral:rRNA from 1 species
AGUGAACGCUGGCGGCAGGCCUAACACAUGCAAGUCGAACGAACCUUUCGGGGUUAGUGGCGGACGGGUGAGUAACACGUGGGAACGUGCCGUUAGGUUCGGAAUAACUCAGGGAAAAUUGUGCUAAUACCGAACGUGCCCUUGGGGGGGAAGAUUAAUCGCCUUUAGAUUGGCCCGUGUCUGAUUAGUUAGUUGGUGGAGGUAAUGGCUCAACAAUGCGACCAUCAGUAGCUGGUCUGGGAGGAUGAUCAGGCACUUUGGGAGUGAGCCACGGCCCAAACUCCUACGGGAGGCCGCAGUGGGGCAUCUUGCGCAAUGGGCGAAGGCCUGAUGCGGCCAGGCCGCGUGAAUGAUGCAGGUCUUGGGAUUGUAAAAUUCUUGCACCGGGGACGAUAAUGACGGUACACGGUGAAAAAGCCCCUGCUAACUUCGUG